GCCACUGCUAUUGGGGUUCGGCUAAGCCAUGCGAGUGGAGGGCGUCCCGCAAGGGAUGGCCCCGCAGACGGCUCAGUAACACGUCGUCAACCCACCUUAGGGUGGGGGACACCCUCGGGAAACUGAGGAUAAUCCCCCAUAGGCGGGGGAGGCUGGAAUGCGCCCCCGCUGAAAGCUCAGGCGCCCUAGGACGGGACGGCGGCCUAUCAGGUAGUUGGUGGUGUGACG
rnacentral:rRNA from 1 species